rnacentral:rRNA from 1 species
GACGAACGCUGGCGGCGUGCCUAAUACAUGCAAGUUGAGCGCUGAAGGUUGGUACUUGUACCGACUGGAUGAGCAGCGAACGGGUGAGUAACGCGUGGGGAAUCUGCCUUUGAGCGGGGGACAACAUUUGGGAACGAAUGCUAAUACCGCAUAAAAACUUUAAACACAAGUUUUAAGUUUGAAAGAUGCAAUUGCAUCACUCAAAGAUGAUCCCGCGUUGUAUUUGCUAGUUGGUGAGGUAAAGGCUCACCAAGGCGAUGAUACAUAGCCGACCUGAGAGGGUGAUCGGCCACAUUGGGACUGAGACACGGCCCAAACUCCUACGGGAGGCAGCAGUAGGGAAUCUUCGGCAAUGGACGAAAGUCUGACCGAGCAACGCCGCGUGAGUGAAGAAGGUUUUCGGAUCGUAAAACUCUGUUGGUAGAGAAGAACGUUGGUGAGAGUGGAAAGCUCAUCAAGUGACGGUAACUACCCAGAAAGGGACGGCUAACUACGUG